CCUACGGGGGGCAGCAGUGGGGAAUUUUGGACAAUGGGCGCAAGCCUGAUCCAGCUAUUCCGCGUGUGGGAUGAAGGCCCUCGGGUUGUAAACCACUUUUGUAGAGAACGAAAAGACACCUUCGAAUAAAGGGUGUUGCUGACGGUACUCUAAGAAUAAGCACCGGCUAACUACGUGCCAGCAGCCGCGGUAAUACGUAGGGUGCGAGCGUUAUCCGGAAUGAUUGGGCGUAAAGGGUGCGUAGGCGGCCUGCUAAGUCUGGAGUGAAAGGUACCGGCUCAACCGGUACAGGCUCUGGAAACUGG
rnacentral:rRNA from 1 species